AUGGUGGUGCAUGAUAGCCUCCUGGAUAUACACACAAAGGAAGUGCCCAAGCCGGAGUUGCACUGGACCCCUCCUCCACCGGGGUGGGCUAAGCUCAAUACAGAUGGCAGCCAUGUCCCUCCAACCGGAGAGGCAGGGGGUGAGCUGGCUGCGUGCAGAGAGGGCCUGGAGCUUGCGCUUUACCGUGCGAACCUGCCCAUUAUGGUUGAGCUCGACUGUGCAGAAGCGGUGUCUAUGCUGCUAGCACGUACUGGAGAUAGAUCGCAGUACCAUGUGCUCAUUGAGGAGAUUCGAAGACUAGCACAAGAUGCUCGUAGGGAGAUUUCUUUUACUCUUAUUAGUCGCUCGCAGAAUAAGAACACCCAUCCGGGGUGUUUCGGCAUGGUCGAAACUCGGCGCACCACCUACCGCCGGCAGUUGUCGCACUUUAUGACCGGCAACGGGGAGCCGACGAGCUGUUGCACCAAAUCCGAUGGGCAACCCAAUUUUUACUCCUCUAACCGAUUAGAAAUGCCCUAA
rnacentral:rRNA from 1 species